AUGGUGCGGGUGGCGACCUUCUUCGGGAUGACCUUCGGCGCGUUCCUCUUCUGGGAGUCCAUGGACAAGGUCCACGUCUGGAUCGCCCUCCACCAGGACGAGAAGCAAGAAAGGAUGGAAAGGGAGAUGGAGAUAAAGAAGAUGCAAGCAGACCUAAUUGCUCAAGCAAAAGAGAGUGAAUCAUGA
rnacentral:rRNA from 1 species